rnacentral:misc_RNA from 1 species
GAAAUGCGAUAAGUAAUGUGAAUUGCAGAAUUCAGCGAAUCAUCGAAUCUUUGAACGCAUAUUGCGCCCCUUGGUAUUCCGAGGGGCGUGCCUGUUCGAGCGUCAUUUCACCCCUCAAGCUCCGCUUGGUGUUGGGCCAGCAGUCCCGGUAGAGGGACUCGCCUCGAAGGCGUCGGCGGCGUCGCCCCGUCCCAAGCGUGGUGGAAGCACAAGCUCGCUUUGGAGGUCGGGUAGGGAUACCCGCUGAACUUAA